rnacentral:rRNA from 1 species
AGUGAACGCUGGCGGUAGGCCUAACACAUGCAAGUCGAACGGCAGCACAGUAAGAGCUUGCUCUUACGGGUGGCGAGUGGCGGACGGGUGAGGAAUACAUCGGAAUCUACUUUUUCGUGGGGGAUAACGUAGGGAAACUUACGCUAAUACCGCAUACGACCUACGGGUGAAAGCAGGGGAUCUUCGGACCUUGCGCGAUUGAAUGAGCCGAUGUCGGAUUAGCUAGUUGGCGGGGUAAAGGCCCACCAAGGCGACGAUCCGUAGCUGGUCUGAGAGGAUGAUCAGCCACACUGGAACGGGGACACGGUCCAACCCCCUAGGGGAGGCAGCAGGGGGGAAUUUUGGAAACGGGGCGCAAGCCUGACCCAGCCAAACCGGGGGGGUGAAGAAGGCCUUCGGGUUGUAAAGCCCUUUUGUUGGGAAAAAAAAGAAGCAGGUUAAUACCCCGCUGUUCGGACGGUACCCAAAGAAUAAGCACCGGCUAACUUCGU